CACGUAGGGUGCGAGCGUUGUCCGGAAUUAUUGGGCGUAAAGAGCUCGUAGGCGGUUUGUCGCGUCUGCUGUGAAAACUCGGGGCUUAACCCCGGGCCUGCAGUGGGUACGGGCAGACUAGAGUGCGGUAGGGGAGACUGGAAUUCCUGGUGUAGCGGUGAAAUGCGCAGAUAUCAGGAGGAACACCGGUGGCGAAGGCGGGUCUCUGGGCCGAUAUUGACACUGGAGGAGCGAAAGCGUGGGGAGCAAACAGG
rnacentral:rRNA from 1 species